AUAAUGGUUUCUUAGACGUCGUUU
rnacentral:misc_RNA from 1 species